AGUUCAGGGUGAACCAAAGGUGUUGUAAUUUAGAACUAAUUUCAAAACUAUGAAACAGAGCUGAUCAUACGACGCGAACGACGACAUGGGAGGACCCAAGGAAAUCAUUGGCCGCACAAGCGGCACAGCAACAUCAAAGUGCGGAACUUUUGAUACCACAUCCACAAUCCCCUAAUCCUAACACUGCCAAAGUUAAUACAGAUGUAGAUUUAGGGCCGUUACCUGAAGGAUGGGAGCAGGCACAAACUCCCGAAGGGGAAAUCUAUUUCAUUAAUCAUCAAACACGUACGACCUCGUGGUUUGAUCCUCGAA